rnacentral:rRNA from 1 species
GAUGAACGCUGGCGGCGUGCUUAACACAUGCAAGUCGAACGGGCCAUAUUCGUAUGGUUAGUGGCAGACGGGUGAGUAACACGUGGGAACAUGCCCAAAGGUACGGAAUAUUCUCGGGAAACUGGGAGCAAUACCGUAUGUGCCCGAAAGGGGAAAGAUUUAUCGCCUUUGGAUUGGCCCGCGUUGGAUUAGCUAGUUGGUGGGGUAAAAGCCUACCAAGGCGACGAUCCAUAGCUGGUCUGAGAGGACGACCAGCCACACUGGGACUGAGACACGGCCCAGACUCCUACGGGAGGCAGCAGUGGGGAAUCUUGGACAAUGGGCGCAAGCCUGAUCCAGCCAUGCCGCGUGCGGGAAGAAGGCCCUCGGGUUGUAAACUGCUUUGUACAGAACGAAAAAGCUCUUUCUAAUACAGAGAGUCCAUGACGGUACUGUAAGAAUAAGCACCGGCUAACUACGUG